CGGACGGGUGAGUAACGCGUGGGUAACCUGCCUCACACUGGGGGAUAACAGUUAGAAAUAGCUGCUAAUACCGCAUAAGCGCACGGUUCCGCAUGGAACAGUGUGAAAAACUCCGGUGGUGUGAGAUGGACCCGCGUCUGAUUAGCCAGUUGGCGGGGUAACGGCCCACCAAAGCGACGAUCAGUAGCCGGCCUGAGAGGGUGAACGGCCACAUUGGGACUGAGACACGGCCCAAACUCCUACGGGAGGCAGCAUG
rnacentral:rRNA from 1 species